rnacentral:lncRNA from 1 species
UUUGUUCUGUGAAGACACACAGGUAGUAGAGAGAACUGGGACAGAAGCCUCCAGCCAACAAUGUGAGCAAGACUGGAAGCAGGGCUGCAGCUGACUGCAAUCCUGAACAGCUUUUAUGCAGACACAGGUCAGAACCACCCAACAGAUGUUGCCCCUGGAUUCCUGAUCCUCAUAAACUGAUAUGAUGCCUGGGUCUGCAGCAGCCACUUUGUGACUAUGAGGAAAGACAUUGCUGAUGUUAUGGCAACGUAAAAGUUUAUAUUUACCAUGAUGUUUAUUUGAUGACACCGUGAACAAAAUGUGCAAAAUGAGGCCCUACCAUGUUUUAAAAAAUGUUUUCAUCAAAUGGAUCUCAGAGGGACAUGCCCAAAACUCCUGCUACCAGAGUGAUCCUCUCUUCAUCUCUUUUCUCUAGCCAAUAAAUCAAAGUUUCAUUUCUCAUUUUGCAAUAGGAAUUUGUAUUAGGCAACCAUCUGUAGCAUCUAUUUGGGUUAUAUCUAAAGCUUAAGGGCUACAUCCUCUCCCAACCCCAAUAUGUGAGUACUUGAUGCCCGAAUCAUGGUCCUUCAAUGGAAGAACACUUGUCAAAUCCUAUUUAAACAGAUCUAAAUUAAAAAAAUAUUUUUUUUCUAAAAAUAUUAUUUGGCCUUCAUUUGGGAAUCUCACACAUCUAAGACCUUAGAUUUAAAGUAUCUUUAGAACUCUAACCACAUUGGAGUGUAGACUCCAUUACAGCAGGAAUCCUUGCCUCUUUUGCUUAAUAUUGCAUCAUAGCAUCUUAUCAGAAUGAUACAUAAUAGAUGGGGGAAGAUCUAGAAUAAACAAACCCCCGAAUAAAAAUAGAAACAAAUGUUGAACAAAUCAAUUAUAAAAUCUGCUUUUAUCUUUUUCAUAAAAAUAUUUAUAAAAUUAUACAUCUGCUUUACUUUCCCUUUAGAUUCUCCAUUUGAUAAUCAUUUUGGAAAGAUCAAAAACAAAGUCAUAACACAAACACACAUUUUGUGUAUCAUUUUCCUCUUGUUUUCUUUUGCAAAACCAUGCUGAGGAGGACAGUGGUGUAUCUGUAUCGUCUUAUGGAAAGUAGUAACACAUCUAGCAAAUAACAGAGGUAAAUAUGCAUGAGAAGUGGGUAGAAUUGGAAACAGACAAUUUCAGGUCUAUAUUGUGCGUGAUUUCACAGGAUAGAAUUUUAUUUUAUAUUUUCUUCUUUUAAAAAAGUUCAUUCCAAGGUAGAUUAGAUUAGCCCUGGCUAAUAUUUUUAGCAUUUUAUGUUUGGUCACCUUAACAUCUCUAAAUCUUUCUUCCCUUUGUUACCUUACCCUACCAUUACCUAUCAUCUAAUGAGUUUGGCUAACCUGAAACUUCCUCAGUCUUUAACAAUACUAAUGAAUGCAAGUUAAUAAAUUAGGAAAUUGUGUUGGUUCAUUACAUUGUCUUAAUAUAAUUUUCAGUUUAUUUGUUAUUGAUUGAGCUCCUUAAUUUCAAGUUCAUUUUUCUGAGGUUUAUUGUUUCUAAUUUGAUUUACAGAUUCUCCAUGUCUUUGGCAUUAUUUCUUUCUGCUUUCUGCAACCUGUUUUUUGGUAAUUUCACUACUCAUUAGCCCCUCCCUCCAUCAGAGGGAUGGGCAGGAUGAGAAAAAUGAUAUGACAAUAUAGUAAAUUUUGCUACUUGCUAUUAUCUGAUAAAAUGGUGUUCAAGAAAGAAAUAAGUGUGUAACUGUUGACUAAAAUGACAUUUUGGGAAUUUUUUAAAAUAAUUUUUUAUUGUCCAUGAUCUAGCAACUGUUACCAUGAAAGACUGAGUUAGUUCUCUAUCUGCUAAAUUUAAUAAAUAAAGGUUUUUAAUCCAAAAAUUUGUUAUAAUUCUAAUCACAAUCACACCAAGCUCAUGAACUACAUUUCUAUAAAAAUGUUAUCAAUUAAAAAAAAUAAUGUUCAAGGAAUCAAGAGCUAAAAUGAAGCUCAAGGUGGAUUUUAAAAUGGAGAAUAAUAUAAAAUAGUGAACUGUUUUUGCCUCAUAGAUUUCAACCUCCUUAAAUACUUAGUGAUGUAAGAGUCAUAUAUAAAAUGUUAUCAGUCAUAUAAAUAUAUAUGAAGGAUUUUUAAAAGUGAAGAUUUAACUAUAAUAGUUACUUCAUAAUCAAUGAUGUAAUAGUCAAUGAUGUAGGAGAACAAAGAGCAUUGCAUAGCUCCAUAUGGACUUCAGAGCAUCAGUUUGUUUUUAAAAGGGGGCUACCUUAUAUACACAUGUUUAGUUUUCAGAGAUUAAAUAAAAUAAAAAUUAUCGCCAUUCUGAAUAGCAGACUAUUUUAGCAAUACAUGUGUUGGAAAGUAUAUUUUAUUUGGUAGAUCAACUUCAGAGAACUAAACUCUCCAGCAUAACCAGAGGGUUAGAUAAUAUAUUUACACCUGCAGUAUUUCAUUCUAUAAAUAAUCUAUAAUGUCAAAAACUAGCCUUGAUGGGGCAUUUACAUUUUAUGAAUAGCUAAAAUGUUACAGUGAACAUUUUCACAUUUUUAUGGCAUAGUAUAAACAAAAUAUGGGCUAAUACAUAAUUAUUUUUGAAGUUCAAGGAAAGGGAUAUAUAGAUAGAGUAUAGAGACACAAAAAUCAGAAAUACUAUUUUUAGCCAUUUUCACACAUCCUUUUACUUCAACCUGUUAAAUGAUUAAAAAGUGAAAUGAGCAUUUACGUAUUUCAAAGUGGGUAAACACGCUAAAUAAUAAUUCUUGAAAUGUUCACUCUUUCAAAAAAUAAUCUCUUCAAUCUUAUGGAAAAGUGGUCUAGUGUACUAUUUCAGUUGUUUUUAUUUUAUGUGACCAAAAAAAAUACGCUUUAGGGUUCAAUUACUGAUUCGUCCCACUUUCUUUUUGAACUAAGGGCACACUUACUAUCUCCAUAAACAGCUAAAAUGUUUACAGAGACCAGUAAAACCUAUGUCAGAUCGUAACACAUUUUUGUUCUUGGGAGGCUUUGGGCCUAAAUCCCACAUUCUCUAAUCAGAUAACUCAAUAAGAACAAAGAUGGAAAAGAUAUAAUCCUGCAUUUAGAUAUGUGAACAUCAAAAUUUUUAAAGCCAAAAGCAAUUGUGCACAUAUUCUUAAAAAAUUAUCUUAUUCCAAAAUAUUUGUUAUUUUUAAAACAAGACUAUCUGUAAUUCAGUUGAAGUAUCAUUUCAAAAUGAAACAAACAAUAAUGUGGGAAUUAUUAUAUGACUACUUAUUAGAAAAACCUCAGGAGAAACUUAGAAUAGUUAUUUAAGAAAUCCCUAGGUUCAAAAUGAAAUUCAACUUUUACAAUGUUGA